rnacentral:rRNA from 1 species
CCUACGGGUGGCAGCAGUGGGGAAUAUUGGACAAUGGGGGCAACCCUGAUCCAGCCAUGCCGCGUGUGUGAAGAAGGCCCUCGGGUUGUAAAGCACUUUCAGUGAGGAAGAACGCCUGGUGGUUAAUACCCAUCAGGAAAGACAUCACUCACAGAAGAGGCACCGGCUAACUCCGUGCCAGCAGCCGCGGUAAUACGGAGGGUGCGAGCGUUAAUCGGAAUUACUGGGCGUAAAGCGCGCGUAGGUGGCUUGAUAAGCCGGUUGUGAAAGCCCCGGGCUCAACCUGGGAACGGCAUCCGGAACUGUCAAGCUAGAGUGCAGGAGAGGAAGGUAGAAUUCCCGGUGUAGCGGUGAAAUGCGUAGAGAUCGGGAGGAAUACCAGUGGCGAAGGCGGCCUUCUGGACUGACACUGACACUGAGGUGCGAAAGCGUGGGUAGCAAACAGGAUUAGAUACCCCAGUAGUC